ensembl:lncRNA
CAGACUGGGAGAAGUGGGCCUGACAUUCCAGGUCCCACAUCCAGAUCAUUUGAAGCAAGGUCCAAGCACUCUAUCAUUUCAUCUGUAAGUGCUUUAGGAUGUACCUAACAGGUAGUUACAGAAAACUUGUUGUCCUAAUGCUGAGAAGCAAACACUUUAAGAGCUGGAAUCAAGAUUACUGGGAGAAAUAUCAAUAACCUCAGAUAUGCAGAUGACACCACCCUUACGGAAGAAAGUGAAGAAUUAAAGAGCCUCUUGAUGAAAGUGAAAGAGGAGAGUGAAAAAGUUGGCUUGAAACUCAACAUUCAGAAAACUAAGGUCAUGGCAUCUUGUCCCAUCACUUCUUGGGAAAUAGAUUGGGAAACAGUGACAAGCUUUAUUUUGGG